CUGCCAAUGGCUCGAAGCCGCAGCUUCCACGACACCGGAGUCACGGCACGAACGGUUCGCGUUUUGCUCGUUUUUAACCGGAGAGGGGAAAAAAGCAGAGGGGCGGCUGCGUUCGCGGAGACCGAGAGCCGUCUUGUAGGCGCUAGGGGUGGGGCAGGGAGGUCCCGGGACACCGAGCGGCCCUGAGCUCUCCUUCUUCCCUCUCCGGGCUCCCAAGGUGGGUUAGCGUCCACUACCCUGCUCCCCGUUACCCCGCAGCCCCGCCGUGUUCCUGCCGGAGGUUCAUGUGGCGCCCAUCAGCGGAGUCCGACAAGAAUCGGGACAGCUACCUGCACCCCAGAACCUCCCCCUUUAAAGCUCUGAGGCUUCAAAGGUGGCUUGGAUUGAGCGGUAGGGUCUGAGGUCCCCAACCUUGACCUUGGCUUUGAGGGCGCGGUGUUGAGCCGCCAGGUGUCGCUGCGGCCCCGCCGCUGCCCGUUUCCCGCGGGACCGGGGCCGCCAGAGCGUGGGCACGGCUCCGGGCCCAUCCCGCUCUGUGCUCCCUCUGGGGCACCAGGCAGCUUCUACCGGGCACUGCGACCCUUUCCUUGCCCUUUUUAUUCCCUGCGGAGCUCCAAACCCAGCAUAAACCCACCUGAAGUCCUGCACGACCGAAGAGAGGGGUGCAGGAUUGGAGGGGGCACCUGAGCCCCUCCUCUCCGAAAACACAGUACCGUGCUGUUCUCUGCGGCUUUCAGUGUAUCUCGCAGCACCCUGGUAGCACCUCGAGUACCUACUGCUGCCCCCAUCCCAGUCUGAAAUUUGAAGGGAGGGGAGGGAGUAACGCUUCACCCAGCUUUACCCAGCAGCAAAAGGUACCCGCCUGACAGGACUCACCCCGUUUCACCCAGUUUCACCCAGCAGCGGAGGGUACCCGCUUGGCAGGACCCACCCCACGGGUGAUGCACGUGCUCGGACCCACCCAUACCGGGGGGUUCAGGUUUCCCAGGUCGUUCUGCGGCUAAGGCGGGGAGCUUGCAGUGCCGAGCGGGCGAGGAGGAAAGCUUCGGGGCCUCGGGUUCUCUGGGAGGAAGAGGGAAGUGGAUCGGGGAAGAAAGUGGGGACCGCCUGGUGCGAAGUGACUCUGGGUAAGGACGAGGCUGCAAGGGACUGGCUCUCCUCUCCGGUGCAUUGUAUCAACGUCUCUUAUUUGGGGUUUUUUAUAUGCUUUUCUGGAAAAAAAAAAAAAAAAAAAAUUAAAAAAAAAAACCGCAACCAAAACAAACAAACAAAACCAAACCCCAAACCAUAAAUUUCAGAAUAUAAACCUGACCCAUACAAAAAUUUCCUCCUUCCAAAGAGGGUGGGGGAAAAAAAUCUUUGGAAUUACUCUCGCCGCUUUAUUUCUGAAGCCCUCCCGGGCACAGCGCUCUGAAGGGGGUCGAUGCCAACAAGACCUUGCUGCCUUGUCCGACGGCGGGAUCGUGCCGAGGCUGCCUGUUACCUUACCCGGGUGCGGGCGGGUAAGGUCGGCAAGGCACGGCACGGGUGCAAAAAAAACCCCUAACAAAACCCAAACCCACCACCAUCAAACCCGAAAUAAGACACAAAUCCGCUCUUCCUGCAGGGUGAGUUGCCUCAAUAGAGCUUCUUUUUAUCCCCCCCCCCCUCUUUCCCUUACGUUGUCCAUCUGCAGAAGAAGCGACCCCAUCCUGGUACGCCCCGUCGGCGUCGGGUAGAAGCGCUGGGGAAUGCAACCCCCCCUUCCUCUACCCCCUCCUUGGAGACCCCGCUCCCCGUCGGUCCUGUCGGUCGGAUAAUGGGGCGGUGGGACUUUGUUUAACCCUGUUGCCCCCGAGGCCAGAGGUCAAGGGCUUCCUCUUCCCCUGGGGCACCGCGGAGAGGCCGCCGGCCGCACCAGGAGGACCGCGGCGGUGAGGGGGGGGGCGGUGGCCGUCGCAUCUCCCCUCCCUGUCGCAGCCCUUCUGAUGGGACCGACGUGACAUCCUGUAAAGCCUUAUCGUCCCCCAGCAUCGGAAGGUUGAGGAUGACUCCGGGUGGAUGUUUCAGGGGUGUAGGGUGCGACCAAAUAUCAUCCCGGGGCAGGGAGAGGUGGGGGACUGCAAGGAAGCGGCCCCUGCCUUCCAACGUUCCCCGUCUCUGCCUUCCUCUCUCGACUUUUGGAAGGCUGUUUUAACGCGGGGCAAUUUUAACGGGGCUUUAACCCCCCCUCCGCAAGCAGAGGUAUCUCAGUCGUCCGCCCCGGGAGCCAAGAAACGGGAGAAAUGGGCAAUUUUUAUAGGUGACGUACGGGCUUACGUGGGAUCCCGUGGCCAGCACCGCUCUUUCAGAGUUUUUCUCCUGAAAUAACCCUUCUCUGCAGCUCGUGCCCCCCUUUCCCAGCUCGCACCCCCUUUUCCAGACUGGGAGGGGAGGGGAGCUGGGAGAGGGAGAAUGAAAAGGGAAAAGAAAAGCAGUCCCUCACAUCCCACUAUUUCCUUGCUGGGGAGAAGAGCUCCGCAGCUCUCAAAGUGAGCAAUGGAGAAGGCGCCAAGAGGCAGGGCGAUGUGUGGGGGUCGGCGAUGGGAUAGAGGGGUUUGGGUGGCCUCCUUUUCGGUAUUGUAGGAGAACCAGCGAGGGAGGGAUGCUGGCCGCACCGCGGGCACCCGAGGUUUUCGACUCUGGGUGAGCAAAAGGAUUUCUUAAACUCCCCGGGAAGAGGAGAAGACGUUUCCCACCCACCCCCCCCGCUCCUCUCCCCUCCUUUUUUUUUUUUUUUAAUGGCGUUAAUUGCUUUUUAAAAUAAAAUCCUACGGAAUUUGGCACCGACCCUCGGUUUCUGCUGGCGGUGGCAUUUGAGAAAACCUGUCGGGGGAUCCCUCAGUCCUCAUCGGGGCAGCGAGAGACUCCCCAGAGCCACUCCGGACAGCGGUGGAGUGAAUCUGAGAUAAAAAAUAGGAGCCGGGUUACACGCAGGAAGAGGAAGGAGAGGUCGGAAGCGUAAAGUAAAGGCUGUGCAAGAUGUGUACAGAAGAUGAGGAAGAUAGAAAUAAAGGGAGCGGAGGAGAAAAGCGCAGGCGGUACCUGCUGUGCCCGCGCCCUGCUUCCAGCUCGCUGCGGCUGUCGAGGCGAAGCAGCCGCGGUGCUGCGGCCUGGCUUCGAGGUGCGGAUGGCACAGCUCGGCUCGGUCCGGCUGUGGAAGGGACCCCUACCACUGGGGCCAGAGUCGCUGCCCGAGAGUAGCCAGUGUCCAGGCUCUGCCCGACGGCUUCAGGUGGGCCGAGCCGCGCCCAGGGAGCCACGGGUACGUUCAGCAUUUGGACAGCGGUGCGGGCCGGGCCGGGCCGGGCCGGGCCGGGCCGGGGAGCAGAGCAAAAAGGCCAGGGAGCUGCAGGGAAACGGAGCGCUAAGGAUGGCUGCAGCCGUGGCGGGUGGGGUGAUAUGAACUUAAAGGACCGGAGACAGAGCCGAGCGGGGGACCCUGGCUGCAGGACGGGUCCGGCCCCAGGCUCUCCCCUUUCGGACUGGGGGCAGAGCGAGAUGCCCAGCGGAGUGCCCAGGUGAGCAGCAGCGGCUCCGAGGGAGUGGGCGGCAGAGAGUCUCCUUGGGGAGCUGGGGGGGACACACACAUAACCCCUCUCCUCCACUCAGCCCCAUCCUCGGGGGGUAAUUAAAGGGGUGAGGCGGAGGGGCUGCGCUUUCUGCUCGGCGGAGCCUGCCAGCCACCAACCCCCGCCGCCACCACCGCCUUCCUUCCGUCCUCCUCCUCUCCCCCUCCCUCCCCCUGCCUCCUCCCCUCCCCCUCUCCCUCCUCCUCCUCCUCCUCCUCCUCUCCGCCAUGGUUGGAGUGAAUAGGAGACUGCCGGGCUGACGUCAGUGCGGGCAGAGCCUGCCGGCGGCGGCAGCUCCUGGCCAACAAGCAGAGCCAGCACCGGCAGCAGCCGUGAAGACGGACGGAGCCCGGGCAGAGCCGCCUCGCCGGCCCUCUCCUGGGGCCGGGGAAUGAUGCUUGGCCGAGGGCAGCCCUGCCCGCCCCUCUGCCCGCUCGCCCAUGGUUGGAGUGGGGAGGCCCCUGCCGCCCGUUUCGGCCGGGGACCGCCGUCUUCGGCACGGCAGCAAGACGAAACGCGUUUUAGGCCUCAGCCUUAAGGAAACUCGAAUCAUAGCAGUGCAGUUGGCCUGAGAGCCUGCACCUGGCCAGGUCUCUUCAACAUGCUUCCACCCUACCUCCCCGCUGGGCAGAGCCUCGCCCUGCGAGCAAGGAGGGUCCAGGACCGGCCCCGCCUGGGUCCCUACCCAGAGGAAAAAGAGCACCCGGGGACCCGGGAAGCUGCUACUUUGGCUUUUCAGCACCGGGGCUUGCUCGGAGGCGGCUUUUAAGUGCUAAACAAAGCGACGUGUUUCCUUCGCGCCCGUAGGGAGCUGUCACUUCUGGGCGAAGCUCCGAGUGAGGGAGGAAAAGCAAAAACACCCCAACACCCCCCCCCCCCAAAAAAAAUAAAAGCAGCCCCCAAAUUAAGAGAAGAUGGAGCUCGACUCGGCGAGGCGCGGGGGGUUACUCCAGGUUGGCUAAAAAUAACUUCUCCUAAUUAAAGAAAAGUGACGUCAGACGCGCAGGACGUAGAAGAGGGGAAGGCAGCGGACUCGUUACAGGGCGAUCACGCUAAGUAAUUCAGGGGCAGCCCGGUGACCGGGCUCUCCCGAGGCCGCCCGCCCUGCCCUGCGCCGGGCUCACGCGCGGCGGGAGUGGGCAGCCAGGCCGUGCCACCUUCUGGAGGGCGCGGAAGCUCCGCGGUAGCGGUGGGGCCGAAGGUCGGUGCAGCACCAUGGCCAGAGCCGCGCCGGCCCCGCCGCCCGUCCCCGUCCCGUCGGACCGUCCGCAGCUGCGGCUGGUUUUCUCCCGUGGGUGCGUGAGAAGAAAGGACGGUUCCGAGCUCCUCGUGGGCGGCCCAGCUGGGGCAGGACGCGGGAUGCCUCCGGACGCCGCUCGCUGCGGCAGAAGGGAGCCCCGAAGCCCAGGCAGCCUCCGCUGAUCCCUCCCCAGGAUGCUCACUGGUGCUUUGAGCUGUGCCAUGAAGCCAUUUUGUACGUAUCCAGCUAAAAUUGUGGGGGGGAAGGGGAAAAAAAAGGCCCAAAUCCCCAGAAUGCAAAAUAGCAACAACAGGAAAAAAAUCCAAACCAACCAAACCCAAAGCCUGAGCAAAAAUACCCCGAAUAGCCCAGGUGCUUGGCGCAAUUGUCUCCCAGGUGCAGGGGCUCUGCCUACCCGAAGCGCGUCGAGGCGGGAGCCCAGAUCAGAGCAAGGCACUGGUGAAAAGGAGCAGAAAAAAAAGUAAUCAUAUUAUAUGUAUUUCUGCCAAGAAAAUCGCCUCCGUUACCCGUCAGAGAGCGAGGACCCCGUCCCCAGCGCCAACAGCGCGGCCAGAUGAGGUGCUUCACCCGCGGCAUCUUCUCUUGCCCGAGCCACACGGCGGCCCGGGGGCUCGGCACGGCGGGCGACAGAUCUCGCAUGGCGGCAGCCCGGCAGAGCCGCGGCUUGACUGGGCUGUGUCUGCUCCUCUGGGCCCCUUUCUCUCUGCCGCAAGGCCGGCGGGGCCGGAGCGGAGCCGCAUCGCCUCCGGACCGGUCCCGGGCGCUGGGGAGGCUACCCACGGCCCCCCGCGCUGCUUCCCCGCCGCCGAGGCCCCGCAGUGAGUAACUGGGCCUCCUCCGGUGGGUGAAAACGGAGACCGGGCCGUGGGCCAGGCGAACCCCGCGUUCCCCAGUGUCCGCUCGGCACUGCAGUCCCCGCACCCCGGGCUACUCCGCAGGGGCUGCAGGGCGGGCACCUUCCCCUGCCCCGGCUAGGGAACGUACCGGCAGCGGUCGUCAGGACUGAGACAGCGAUAAAUUAGGGAAAAAAUCAGGAUCAUAAAAUUAAGGCGAUCCGA